CCGCGCUGCACUUCGAGCUGGGCGAAGCGCGCGUUGCUGGCGCAGAGGUUGAUGUCGGCCGCCAGCAUCAGUUCGAUGCCGAUGGUGUAGC
rnacentral:tRNA from 10 species